rnacentral:misc_RNA from 1 species
GAUGGAUCAUUGUCGAAGCCUGCGUAGCAGAACGACCCGCGAACAUGUAAUAACAGCCUGGUGGCAUAGGGAUUGGGCUUUUGUCCGAACCCUAUGGCGCCUUGUUGAUUUUCGUCCAUGGUUUCCCCUUUGCGGAAUCCUAGACGUCUAAUCAGCACAACAACAAACCCCGGCACGGCAUGUGCCAAGGACAAGCAAACUUGAAAAGGGCUCGUGCCAUGCUGCCCCGUUCGCGGUGUGCGCAUUGGAACGUAGCAUCUUUGUAACCACAAACGACUCUCGGCAACGGAUAUCUCGGCUCACGCAUCGAUGAAGAACGUAGCAAAAUGCGAUACUUGGUGUGAAUUGCAGAAUCCCGUGAACCAUCGAGUUUUUGAACGCAAGUUGCGCCCGAAGCCACUCGGCCGAGGGCACGUCUGCCUGGGCGUCACGCAUCGCGUCGCCCCCUCACCGUGCUUCCCUGAUCGGGAUGUCUAGGGUGGGGGCGGAUAUUGGUCUCCCGUGCCUAUGGUGUGGUUGGCCGAAAUAGGAGUCCCCUCUGACGGACGCACGACAAGUGGUGGUUGACAAAACCUUCGUCUCGUGUCGCGUGUUUUGAGUCGUGAGGGAAGACCUCAUAAACUACCCCAAUGUGUCGUCUUGUGACGACGCUUCGACCGCGACCCCAGGUCAGGCGGGACUACCCGCUGAGCUAAGCAAUCC